UGUAAAGAUUAAAGAAUGGAA
rnacentral:piRNA from 1 species